rnacentral:rRNA from 1 species
CCUUGACAUACUAAGAACUUUCCAGAGAUGGAUUGGUGCCUUCGGGAACUUAGAUACAGGUGCUGCAUGGCUGUCGUCAGCUCGUGUCGUGAGAUGUUGGGUUAAGUCCCGNAACGAGCGCAACCCUUUUCCUUAUUUGCCAGCGGGUCAUGCCGGGAACUUUAAGGAUACUGCCAGUGACAAACUGGAGGAAGGCGGGGACGACGUCAAGUCAUCAUGGCCCUUACGGCCAGGGCUACACACGUGCUACAAUGGUCGGUACAAAGGGUUGCUACCUCGCGAGAGGAUGCUAAUCUCAAAAAGCCGAUCGUAGUCCGGAUCGCAGUCUGCAACUCGACUGCGUGAAGUCGGAAUCGCUAGUAAUCGCGGAUCAGGAUGCCGCGGUGAAUACGUUCCCGGGCCUUGUACACACCGCCCGUCACACCAUGGGAGUUUGUUGCACCAGAAGUAGGUGGUCUAACCGCAAGGAGGACGCUUACCACGGUGUGGCCGAUGACUGGGGUGAAGUCGUAACAAGGUAGGCGUAGAUGA